CAGCAGCCGCGGGAAUACGUAGGGUGCGAGCGUUAAUCGGAAUUACUGGGCGUAAAGCGUGCGCAGGCGGUUAUAUAAGACAGAUGUGAAAUCCCCGGGCUCAACCUGGGACCUGCAUUUGUGACUGUAUAGCUAGAGUACGGUAGAGGGGGAUGGAAUUCCGCGUGUAGCAGUGAAAUGCGUAGAUAUGCGGAGGAACACCGAUGGCGAAGGCAAUCCCCUGGACCUGUACUGACGCUCAUGCACGAAAGCGUGGGGAGCAAACAGGAUUAGAGACCCGCGUAGUCCCUGUCUCUUAUAC
rnacentral:rRNA from 1 species